rnacentral:rRNA from 1 species
GAUAAACGCUGGCGGCGUGCCUAAAACAUGCAAGUCGAACGGACAUCUUUCGGGGUGUUAGUGGCGAACGGCUGAGUAACACGUGGGUGACCUGCCUUCGAACGGGGGAUAACUGCCCGAAAGGGUGGCUAAUACCGCAGAUGUUGCGACUUCGGUGUCGUAACUGAACUUCCGGGGUUCGGAGAGGGGCCUGCGUCCGAUUAGCUAGUUGGUGGGGUAACGGCCUACCAAGGCGACGAUCGGUAGCUGGUCUGAGAGGAUGAUCAGCCAGACUGGGACUGCGAACGGCCCAGACUCCUACGGGAGGCAGCAGUUAGGAAUUUUGGGCAAUGGGCGAAAGCCUGACCCAGCAACGCCGCGUGGGUGAUGAAGGCCCUCGGGUCGUAAAGCCCUUUUCCCAGGGAAGAUGAUGACGGUACCUGGGGAAUCAGCCCCGGCUAACUACGUG